AUGUGGCCUGGACCCACCCUCCUCAGGUCAUCACCUUUCUUCACCUGAGCCAAUUAUUUGUAACCUCAGGGUUUCACCAUCACUUCAUGUGCUUUACAAAAAACAAAGGCAAAGCAUCACUCUUAUCAGCAAAUGUGUUAGUCCAGGCUUCACCCUUUGAAUUAUUUGCAUAGGUGAUGCUUCACUUUUGUCAGUUUUACAUAGGUGAGGCUUCACUUUUGUAAGUUUUCGGCCGGUCUGAAGCUUCACCACUGUUUCACCAUACUGGCCAUUUGCAUAGUUCAAGCUUCACCACUGUUUCAC